rnacentral:lncRNA from 1 species
GCAGCUUUGCUUCCUGCACAAAGGAAGAAUAAAACAACUAAACAAAAAUGUAAUCAUAAAUAAAGAAAUUUAAGACUGAUUUUUGAAGAGAAGAUAGAUCAGAGGGGAAUCGAGUUACAUACCAGUUUCCAUAUAACUUCUUCUUUGAUGAAGAGUAAACAUAUAUAUCUCCAUAUAUAUAGGGGCAAACAAAUCAAGAGGAUCGAUGAGAUAUCUUUCCAUGGGAGCGGGCCGGCCGGCCGGAAAAACAAAGAUCAAGGGGAGGAACAAGCUCUCUCGCUCCCUCUCCCUCUCCCUCUUUGCUUGAGAGGCAAUAUAUGCAAGGAAACCCUAGAUAUGAUGAGGAAGCUAGCUUCAUUUGGACGAAGAAGCUGAUAAGAAUAAGAAAGAGAUAAGGGUGUGAUGAGGCUGCUGCCUGGCUCUUCAGAGCUUCCAAGAGGCCAUCCACCAGCUUAGUACUAUAUUAGGCAGCUGAGGACGAAGUAGAUUGUGAGUGAGCUAACCCUAAUUACAGCUCUUCUUAACACAGAAGAGGGCGAAAUAAAAGUUAUAAAACUAUUCGUCGAGAUGCGCGCAUCCACUUCGAGAUGCCAUUUGAGGUACACGGCACUGACAGCAAAAUUGAAACACCAGCUGGCGUAUUCGGACCUCUGGCA